rnacentral:rRNA from 1 species
CGGCAUGCCUUACACAUGCAAGUCGAACGGCAGCACGGGGCAACCUGGUGGCGAGUGGCGAACGGGUGAGUAAUGCAUCGGAACGUGCCAUUGAGUGGGGAUAACGUAGCGAAAGUUGCGCUAAUACCGCAUAUUCUGUGAGCAGGAAAGCAGGGGACCGCAAGGCCUUGCGCUCUUUGAGCGGCCGAUGUCAGAUUAGCUAGUUGGUGAGGUAACGGCUUACCAAGGCGACGAUCUGUAGCGGGUCUGAGAGGAUGAUCCGCCACACUGGAACUGAGACACGGUCCAGACUCCUACGGGAGGCAGCAGUGGGGAAUUUUGGACAAUGGGCGCAAGCCUGAUCCAGCCAUGCCGCGUGAGUGAAGAAGGCCUUCGGGUUGUAAAGCUCUUUCGGCCGGGAAGAAAUCGCAUGGGUUAAUACCCUGUGUGGAUGACGGUACCGGAAUAAGAAGCACCGGCUAACUACGUG